rnacentral:misc_RNA from 1 species
ACGUCAUCCCCACCUUCCUCCGGCUUGUCGCCGGCAGUCUCUCUAGAGUCCCCACCAUUACGUGCUGGCAACUAAAGACGGGGGUUGCGCUCGUUGCGGAACUUAAUCCAACACCUCACGGCACGAGCUGACGACAGCCAUGCAACACCUGUCAGGGGCCCUUACGGACCCUACAUCUCUGUAGGUUUUCCCCUGAUGUCAAGCCCAGGUAAGGUUCUUCGCGUUGCCUCGAAUUAAGCCACAUGCUCCGCCGCUUGUGCGGGUCCCCGUCAAUUCCUUUGAGUUUUAGCCUUGCGGCCGUACUCCCCAGGCGGGGUGCUUAAUGCGUUAGCUGCGGCACGGAUCCCGUCGAUAGGGACCCACACCUAGCACCCAUCGUUUACGGCGUGGACUACCAGGG